rnacentral:sRNA from 1 species
UGGAAGUAAAAAGUCGUAACAAGGUCUCCGUUGGUGAACCAGCGGAGGGAUCAUUACCGAGUUUACAACUCCCAAACCCCUGUGAACAUACCAAUUGUUGCCUCGGCGGAUCAGCCCGCUCCCGGUAAAACGGGACGGCCCGCCAGAGGACCCCUAAACUCUGUUUCUAUAUGUAACUUCUGAGUAAAACCAUAAAUAAAUCAAAACUUUCAACAACGGAUCUCUUGGUUCUGGCAUCGAUGAAGAACGCAGCAAAAUGCGAUAAGUAAUGUGAAUUGCAGAAUUCAGUGAAUCAUCGAAUCUUUGAACGCACAUUGCGCCCGCCAGUAUUCUGGCGGGCAUGCCUGUUCGAGCGUCAUUUCAACCCUCAAGCCCCCGGGUUUGGUGUUGGGGAUCGGCGAGCCCUUGCGGCAAGCCGGCCCCGAAAUCUAGUGGCGGUCUCGCUGCAGCUUCCAUUGCGUAGUAGUAAAACCCUCGCAACUGGUACGCGGCGCGGCCAAGCCGUUAAACCCCCAACUUCUGAAUGUUGACCUCGGAUCAGGUAGGAAUACCCGCUGAACUUAAGCAUAUCAAUAAGUCGGAGGAAAAGAAACCAACAGGGAUUGCCCUUGUUACGACUUUUUACUUCCA